AACGAACGCUGGCGGCAGGCCUAACACAUGCAAGUCGAGCGGACCUUUCGGGGUCAGCGGCGGACGGGUGAGUAACGCGUGGGAAUAUGCCCUUCUCUACGGAAUAGUCCUGGGAAACUGGGGGUAAUACCGUAUACGCCCUUUGGGGGAAAGAUUUAUCGGGGAAGGAUUAGCCCGCGUUGGAUUAGGUAGUUGGUGGGGUAAUGGCCUACCAAGCCGACGAUCCAUAGCUGGUUUGAGAGGAUGAUCAGCCACACUGGAACUGAGACACGGCCCAGACUCCUACGGGAGGCAGCAGUAGGGAAUCUUAGACAAUGGGGGCAACCCUGAUCUAGCCAUGCCGCGUGAGUGAUGAAGGCCUUAGGGUUGUAAAGCUCUUUCAGCUGGGAAGAUAAUGACGGUACCAGCAGAAGAAGCCCCGGCUAACUCCGUG
rnacentral:rRNA from 1 species